UGACGCGUUGCAUGUUUCAGAGUAAAAUACACCUCACUACACAGACGGUCUGUUGGAAGUUACCCUGCAAUGUCUGUUGCUUUUAUUGGUUAAUUUUUGUGGUUUAAUGUUUGAAACCUAAGAAAUAAAUAAAGUCAUAGGCUACUAUAGGCUUAUCAGAAUAAAAUAAUCAUAAUCUCUGUGACUUUAUUAACAAAAGAAUGUUACAAUUAUACUAUGUUGUUGAGUGCAUUGUGUGUCUAACUAAAACUUUUUUUUUUACAGAUACAGCGUCAUUUCAUCGUCUAUAUGGUGGGACAACCUGCUAGACAGGUUGAAGACAUCUGUAUCUACCUCAAAGAAGGCAUGGAGAGACACAUUAAAGAAUAUGUGAAUUGUGAAAUUUGUGAGUUGGGGAUUGCACAGACAGUGGAAGUUUUGCAAAACCUACUUGGUGUCACACAUGGGUGUGAAAUUACUUUUUGGACUCAUUUAUGCACUUAAACUGAACUACCAGAAGAACAUCAGGUGCACCUUUGACCUUUCAAAAAAUCCUAAUGGAACUGGACUUGAUACAACCAAGCAAUCACUGAAAGAUGCUUCAGUGAAUACCUGACAGUCACGCUGAUGCAUCCCCCUCAAAGUGGGUACAUUUUUGUACAUUUACAAGUGAACUUUUUAACAUUAAAGGAAUAUUGCACUUUCAUUAAACAAAAAUCCUGAUAAUUUACUGUCUGUCAUCGAAAAUGCUUGUCUUUUUUGUUCAGUCGAGAAGAAAUUGUUUUUUGAGAAAAACAUUCCAGGAUUUUUCUUAAUUUAAUAGACCUUAUUGGACCUCAACAGUUAAGUUUCAAAGCAGCUUUAAAGGGCUCUAAACGAUCCCAAUCGAGGCAUAAGGGUUUUAUCUAUUCAAAAGAUUAUCAUUUUUGGCAAGAAAACUUUUAAAACGCAACAACUUGUCUUGCAUUAUCCAUGUGAUACACAGUGCAACAUUGUGUACUACGUAAUAACGUUGAAGUUUACACAUCACAAAUGUGAAACGCACAUUUGUGGACCAUUUUAAAUAAUAAACGGACCCAAAGACAUUAAGUAGUAUCAUUUCGCAUACAACAACAUCUGAACGCUCCUCUUUCUCCUCGCUUGUAAACGCUGGAGCGGUAGUUUAAAUUAUGUCAUGCUAGCGUGUCACACAGCUAGUGAAAAUUUGUUGUGAGUUAAAAGUCCUCUUUUAUUUUUAUUUUUGAAAAUGACAAUCAUUUAGCUAGAUAAGACCCUUAUGCCUUAUUCGGUAUAAUUUAGAGCCCUUUUAAAUCUGCAUUGAAACUGUAAACUUGAGGUCAAAUAGUCUUAAAUUGAGAAAAAUCCUGGAAUCUUUAACUCAAACUUUAUUUCUUCUUGACUGAACAAAGUAAAACAUAAACAUAUGGGGUUAGAAAAUUAUCGGGAUUUUUGUUUUAUUAAAUUGGAAUAUUGCUUUAACAAUUUUAAAAGUUGAAAAGUUUUUGAAAAAUGUAAUUGAUGUAU